ACAUUUUUUUUUUUUUUGCUAUGAAGACCAUAUUUGUUUUAAAAGUCACAUCUUUCUAUUUCACUAUUGAUUUUUAACAUUUUUUGUCCAUUUUUCAUUUUUUCAGCAAAUUCAUCAUCCAGGAAGUCAAAAGCAGUUGGAAGAUGUUUGGGAACAACAGGAUCAUAUGCAGAAGGAAAAUUUCAACCCACGAACAUUCUUCAUGAUGCAUGAUUUAAAUGGAGACAUGUUUUGGGAUGAAGAGGAGGUUAAAGUCUUAUUCUUAAGAGAAGUGGAGAAAAUUCAUCAGGGUGAAUCAAAUCCAGAUGCCAUUGUUAAAAAUGAAGAUUUAGAAAGGAUGAGAGAGCACUAUUAUAAUGAAGUUGACAAAAUAAAGACAGACUCAUCAGCUUGGAAGAGUUCAUAGCCUCUACACAACAAGCUGAAUUUCGUCAGGAUGACGGUUGGAAGCCAGUGAAUGAACAGCAAGUUUACUCGCAAGAAGAACUCCGUCAAUUUGAAAUGCAGCAACACCACAUCAACCAGCUCAUUGCAGAGGGCAAACUUCCACCAAGUGCUGCGUACCAAUACCAUGGACUGCCGCCUCAACCUCCUCAUGGCUAUCACUAUGAUCCUAAUGCAGUUCCAUACAAUCAACCACAGUACCAGGCUCCUCAAUAUCACGGCGCACAAUACCAGGCAGUGCAUCCUGCACAAUACCAAGCUGCUCCACCUCAACAAUUCCAAGGAGCUGGUGGCCAUCACGCACAGUACCCAGCAGGAGCACAUGUACCCCAGCAUCAAGCCCCGCAAGCUGCGGUCCAUAUGCAGCCUGGAGUCGGAGCUCAUCCGCAACAAUAUCAAGCUGCAGCUCACGCACAGCCACAACAAUAUCAAGCUGCGGCUCACGCACAGCCACAACAAUACCAAGCUGCGGCUCAGGCACAACCUGGAGCUGGAGCUCAUCCGCAACAAUACCAAGCUGCAGCUCAGGCGCAGCCUGUAGCUGGGGCUCAUAAUCAGCAAUAUCAGGCUCAACCUCAGUAUCAAGCUGCAGGUCAACAACAGUAUCAUCAACCAGCAGCCCAGAAUCAGCAAGCACCUGCCUCCCAGAACGUGGGAAGCCAAGGUUACCAAGUCCAUCAGACGGCCAGUGAUCUCAAACCAGCGGCUAAUCAAAACCAGCACGCAGCCAAUGAAUUCCGAAUCAACCAAUAA
rnacentral:lncRNA from 1 species